rnacentral:lncRNA from 1 species
CUCACUUGUCCUAUUUAUUUUGUCUAUUCAUAGUCCUAUUUACUUUUUCCAGGCACUCAAGAGAAGUUUCUAAAUUGGAAACCUAUGCAGAAAAAUAUCUAUUUUUUACUGGCUGUCUCACCUUAUAUUAUUAAUAAAGAACUCUACAGUGUGACUUCCACAAGAAAAAGCAGAAAGAAUAUUACUGAAUAGAAAACUUUCUCCUAUCAACAACAGGACCUUCCAUUCACCUUUACUGCAAAGAAAAUCAGAAAUAUAUCCUGGGAGCUAUGAGGAAUAAUAAAUGAAUGAAUACAUUCUGCAAGGAGCAGCAACAGAAAAGGUUGGACCGAAGGACCAUCAAAGGGACACUUGCCACUAACAUGAACACGGAUGUACAGAAAAUGUGCUGCCUAACUUUUUGGCUUUUGGCAACCAUGUGAAGCAAUGAGCCAGUGUCUUCAUUUCAAAGAGAACAAGAGAAACUGAGUACUUAGUUAAUGAGAGUUGGAUACCAGCUAACAGUGAAAAAACCUAAGGCCCUUAAACCUUUUUGCAGAACAAAGAUUUUUCAAACCUGGCAGAACUGACUAUUGUAUUGAUCCUGGUAUUACAAACAAGCCUCACACAAACCAAGAAAGAUUUAAAGUAAAUACAUUUGGGACUGAAGGAAGGCUCAUAGAAUUAGAAUUAGAAGAGACUUCUGCAGUCACCAAGUCCUGUUCACUCCUGUUACAGAUGAAGAAACUAAGUCUUAUAGAACUUUAAGGACUUGCCCAAG